CCUACGGGAGGCAGCAGUGGGGAAUAUUGCACAAUGGGGGAAACCCUGAUGCAGCGACGCCGCGUGAGUGAGGAAGUAUUUCGGUAUGUAAAGCUCUAUCAGCAGGGGAGCAAAUGACGGUACCUGACUAAGAAGCCCCGGCUAACUACGGGCAAGCAGCCGCGGUAAUACGUAGGGGGCAAGCGUUAUCCGGAUUUACUGGGUGUAAAGCGAGCGUAGACGGUUAAUCAAGUCAGAAGUGAAAACGCAGGGCUCAACCUUGGGACUGCUUUUGAAACUGAGUAGCUAGAGUGCAGGAGAGGUAAGCGGAAUGCCUAGUGUAGCGGUGAAAUGCGUAGAUAUUAGGAGGAACACCAGUGGCGAAGGCGGCUUACUGGACUGUAACCGACGUUGAGGCUCGAAAGCGUGGGGAGCAAACAGGAUUAGAUACCCGGGUAGUC
rnacentral:rRNA from 1 species